CCGGCGACCGGCGCACGGGUGAGUAACACGUAUGGAACCUGCCCGCAGCAGGGGGAUAAGCGGAAGAAAUUCCGUCUAAUACCGCGUAACAACGUUGGGAGGCAUCUCCCGAUGUUUAAAGAUUUAUCGGCUGCGGAUGGCCAUGCGGCGCAUUAGCUAGUCGGCGGGGUAACGGCCCACCGAGGCGACGAUGCGUAGGGGUUCUGAGAGGAAGGUCCCCCACACUGGUGCUGAGACACGGACCAGACUCCUACGGGAGGCAGCAG
rnacentral:rRNA from 1 species